AUUGAACGCUGGCGGCAGGCCUACCACAUGCAAGUCGAACGAGUGGCGGACGGGUGAGUAAUGUCUGGGACACUGCCCGAUGGAGGGGGAUAACUACUGGAAACGGUAGCUAAUACCGCAUACCAUCGGAUGUGCCCAGAUGGGAUAAGCUAGUAGGUGGGGUAACGGCUCACCUAGGCGACGAUCCCUAGCUGGUCUGAGAGGAUGAACAGCCACACUGGGACUGAGACACGGUCCAGACUCCUACGGGAGGCAGCAGUGGGGAAUAUUGCACAAUGGGCGCAAGCCUGAUGCAGCCAUGCCGCGUGUAUGAAGAAGGCCUUCGGUUUGUAAAGUACUUUCAGUGAGGAGGCGUUACUCGCAGAAGAAGCACCGGCUAACUCCGUGCCAGCAGCCGCGGUAAUAC
rnacentral:rRNA from 1 species